rnacentral:rRNA from 1 species
GACGAACGCUGGCGGCGUGCCUAAUACAUGCAAGUUGAGCGCUGAGGGGUGGUACUUGUACCAACUGGAUGAGCAGCGAACGGGUGAGUAACGCGUGGGGAAUCUGCCUUUGAGCGGGGGACAACAUUUGGAAACGAAUGCUAAUACCGCAUAAAAACUUUAAACACAAGUUUUAAGUUUGAAAGAUGCAAUUGCAUCACUCAAAGAUGAUCCCGCGUUGUCUUAGCUAGUUGGGGAGGGAAAGGCUCACCAAGGGCAAGGUACAUAACCGACCUGAGAGGGUUAACGGCCCACAUGGGAACGAGACAAGGCCCCAAAUCCUACGGGGGGCAGCCGGAGGGGAACCUCCGCCAUGGACGAAAGUCUUAACGAGCAACGGCGGGGGAAUGAAUAAGGGUUUUGGGUCGUAAAACCCCGUUGGUAGAGAAGAAAGUUAGUGAGAAUGGAAUGCUCAUCAAGUGACGGUAACUAACCAGAAAGCGACGGCUAACUACGUG